rnacentral:tRNA from 1 species
GGGGAUGUAGCUCAGUGGUAGAGCACUUGUCUAGUGUGCAUAAGACUCUGGGUUCAAUCCCCAGUCCUGCCCC